CGUGCUAAGGUAGCAUAAUGACCCGCCCUUUAAUUGAGGGCCAGUAUGAAAGGACCCACGAAGGUUAAGCUGUCUCAUUAGGGCCCCUAAAAACUAACCUCCUGGUGAACAGGCCCGGAUCUCAAAAAAAGACAAAAAGACCCUGUAGAGCUUUACACGUACGACAUCACAGACUUAUAAUUUUAUAUAGACUGCCCCAUGUAUAAAUGUUUGGUUGGGAUGACAGAGGGCCAACCAAAACGCCCCUUACCCUCUUAGACUAAUAAGUCAUAAAUUGAUCCAAAUAACUUGUAUCAGAAGACAUAGCUACCUCAGGGAUAACAGACUAAUCCCCCUCGAGAGCCCGAAUUGACAGGGGGGCUUGGCACCUC
rnacentral:rRNA from 1 species